rnacentral:tRNA from 1 species
UCCCUGGUGGCUUAGAUGGUAAAGAAUCUGCCUGCCAUUCAGGAGACCUGGGUUCGAUUCCUCGGUAGGGAA